ensembl:snRNA U6 U6 spliceosomal RNA
GUGCUCCCUUCCGCAGCACAUAUACUGAAAUUGGACUGAUACAGAGGAGAUCAGCAUAGCGCCUUCACAAGGAUCACACACAAAUUCAUGAAGUGUUCCACACUUAA